UACAGAGGGGGCAAGCGUUAUUCGGAAUUAUUGGGCGUAAAGGGCGCGUAGGCGGCUUGGCAAGUGGAUGGUGAAAUCCCUCGGCUUAACCGAGGAACGGCCGUCCAAACUGCUUCGCUUGAGACCGGGAGAGGUGAGUGGAAUUCCCAGUGUAGCGGUGAAAUGCGCAGAUAUCAGGAAGAACACCCGUGGCUAAGGCGGCUCUCUAGUACGGUACUGACGCUGAGACGCGAAAGCGUGGGGAGCGAACAGG
rnacentral:rRNA from 1 species